rnacentral:rRNA from 1 species
UACGUAGGGGGCAAGCGUUGUUCGGAAUUACUGGGCGUAAAGCGCACGUAGGCGGAUACUUAAGUCAGGGGUGAAAUCCCGGGGCUCAACCCCGGAACUGCCUUUGAUACUGGGUAUCUCGAGUCCGGAAGAGGUGAGUGGAAUUCCGAGUGUAGAGGUGAAAUUCGUAGAUAUUCGGAGGAACACCAGUGGCGAAGGCGGCUCACUGGUCCGGUACUGACGCUGAGGUGCGAAAGCGUGGGGAGCAAACAGG